CUCGGACACUGAUCGUUAAUAUCGCGACAGGGAAUAAUGUGUGCCGUUUCAAUCCCCCUGUGGACCUACAAUUUGGUGCAUGAAAGGAAAGGAAAUUCAGGAUGAUAGGAUCGUUGUAGUUGUAGACCCUUUUGUUGGUGUGGCCGUAAGGGAUGAGCAACAAUUGACUGUAACUGUGAAAUGCUAUGUAGGCGAAUAUCUUUUCGUGGAUGCUGUCAAUGUAUUCUGACAUGGUUCUCGUUUCCGUUUCGGAGAAUGGCUUAUCGCCGGGGUAUAUCUCGCUGCAAGGAAAUGGACUGGUACCACCAUCUGGAACGAUGAUAAUUAACAGAUUACCAGGAGACCUAAAAUCACCUGCGCCAGCGGAUAACUUUUUUUUUGCACACAUGCAUAUUAUUUUGUAAAUAAAUGACGAAAUAUUUUUUACUAAAAAAAAAUUUUUUAUUCACUUUCCUUAAUCAUACCUUUAAGGGGAAAAAACAUUUAUUCAAUUUUAUGCAAUAGUUCGCGAGAAAAAAAUGA